rnacentral:rRNA from 1 species
CACGUAGGGGGCGAGCGUUGUCCGGAUUUAUUGGGCGUAAAGAGCUCGUAGGCGGUUCGGUAAGUCGGGUGUGAAACCUCCAGGCUCAACCUGGAGUCGCCACUCGAUACUGCUGUGACUAGAGUCCGGUAGGGGGAGCGUGGAAUUCCUGGUGUAGCGGUGAAAUGCGCAGAUAUCAGGAGGAACACCAGCGGCGAAGGCGGCGCUCUGGGCCGGAACUGACGCUGAGGAGCGAAAGCGUGGGUAGCAAACAGG